UCACUUGGUCCCUCACUCAGCUAACGUCUCAGACUCUCAGCAGUGGAAGCACAGUCGCCGGGCUUGCCUCCUGCCUCUGUCGCGUAGCUCUGUUCCUCCGUCGCAAACUUUGCUCCUCUGUCGCAAGCUCUGUUCCUGCCUCCGUCGCCAGUUCUGUUCAUGCCUCCGUCACCAGCUCUGUUCUUCUAGGUCUAGGAUCACUUGAUCAGAGAAUCUUGACUCCCCACGAAUGUAAGAUAAUUGGUGAAGGUCUCUCCCAUGCCAUAAGAUUCUAUCACACCUUGAGAAAAAAGCAUGCAUUAUUUUGAUUGUUUUGUAUUUCCAUUAACCACUUCUCUGAUUGUUUUGUAUUUCCAUUAACCACUUCUCUGAUUGAUAAAUCUUUAUGUUGACAUUUAAUAUUUGAUAUUUUUUAUAUUAUUUAACUUGAGUUUGUAUAUUAAUAAGAGUAUAUGAAUUUGAUUGAUGA